rnacentral:rRNA from 1 species
CCUACGGGAGGCAGCAGUGGGGAAUAUUGCACAAUGGGGGAAACUCUGAUGCAGCGACGCCGCGUGAGUGAAGAAGGAUUUCGGUAUGUAAAGCUCUAUCAGCAGGGAAGAAACCCACCCUCCGGGGUGGCUGACGGUACCUGACUAAGAAGCCCCGGCUAACUACGUGCCAGCAGCCGCGGUAGUACGUAGGGGGCAAGCGUUAUCCGGAUUUACUGGGUGUAAAGGGAGGGUAGGUGGCAAGGCAAGUCAGAUGUGAAAUCCCGGGGCCCAACCCCGGGAGUGCAUUUGAUACUGUCUGGCUUGAGUGCAGGAGAGGUAAGUGGAAUUCCUAGUGUAGCGGUGAAAUGCGUAGAUAUUAGGAAGAACACCAGUGGCGAAGGCGGCUUACUGGACUGUAACUGACACUGAGGCUCGAAAGCGUGGGGAGCAAACAGGAUUAGAUACCCGAGUAGUC